rnacentral:rRNA from 1 species
UGAGGGAUAUUGGUCAAUGGGCGCAAGCCUGAACCAGCGACGCCGCGUGGGUGAAGAAGGUCUUCGGAUCGUAAAGCCCUUUUCCCACUGAAGAGGAAGGACGGUAGGUGGGGAAGAAGUCUCGGCUAACUACGUGCCAGCAGCCGCGGUAAAACGUAGGAGACAAGCGUUAUCCGGAGUUACUGGGCGGAAAGGGCGUGCAGGUGGCGUCUUAAGUCUGUUGUGAAAGCGCCUGGCUUAACCGGGCGAGGCCAAUGGAGACUGAGAGGCUGGAGGACGGCGGAGGGGUGUGGAAUUCCGGGUGUAGUGGUGAAAUGCGUAGAGAUCCGGAGGAACACCAGAGGCGAAGGCGGCACUCUAAGCCGUACCUGACACUGAGACGCGACAGCACGGGGAGCAAACG